CCUANGGGUGGCUGCAGUCGUGAAUUUUCCGCAAUGGGCGAAAGCCUGACGGAGCGACACCGCGUGCAGGAUGAAGGCCUUCGGGUUGUAAACUGCUGUCAGGUUCUAGGAACAAACUGGUGUUAAUAGCGCCAGUCCUGACCAAGACCAAAGGAAGCAGCGGCUAACUCUGUGCCAGCAGCCGCGGUAAGACAGAGGUUGCAAACGUUGUUCGGAAUUACUGGGCAUAAAGCGCACGUAGGUGGUCCGCUAAGUCGGAUGUGAAAUUCCCCGGCUCAACCGGGGAACGGCAAUCGAUACUGGCGGACUUGAGGUCCGGAGGGGUGAGUGGAACUCCUGGUGGAGCGGUGAAAUGCGUAGAUAUCAGGAGGAACACCGGUGGCGAAAGCGGCUCACUGGCCGGAAUCUGACACUGAGGUGCGAAAGCUAGGGUAGCAAACGGGAUUAGAUACCCUUNUANUC
rnacentral:rRNA from 1 species